CAGUCGCCGCGGUAAUACAGAGGGUGCGAGCGUUAAUCGGAUUUACUGGGCGUAAAGCGUGCGUAGGCGGCUUCUUAAGUCGGAUGUGAAAUCCCUGAGCUUAACUUAGGAAUUGCAUUCGAUACUGGGAAGCUAGAGUAUGGGAGAGGAUGGUAGAAUUCCAGGUGUAGCGGUGAAAUGCGUAGAGAUCUGGAGGAAUACCGAUGGCGAAGGCAGCCAUCUGGCCUAAUACUGACGCUGAGGUACGAAAGCAUGGGGAGCAAACAGGAUUAGAUACCCCAGUAGUCCUGUCUCUUAUACA
rnacentral:rRNA from 1 species